CUAAUACACAGCAAUGGCGUCAGGUAGAGUUAAGUAGCUUCCCCAGGGUCCAGCAGGUGGAAAGCCAGAGUUGGAAGCCUUAAUCGACUUUCAGAUCAUGUGCGCUUAAAAACCGCGGUGCAGUUUUGCCUUGAGAGAAAUGAGGAGAGCGAGCGAGGGAGGAAAGAAAGGGACCGGGCUUGAUGACUGCAACAAAGAUGGAGGAGCCGGGAGAGGAGAAGGACCUGGUUAUCAGCUUCAGAGCUGGUGUCCCACUGUCCUUCCCUUCUGGAGAGCAGUGUCUCAUUAGUGAUGACGGGACUCAGGCAAGACUCCUCAUGAACCCAGUUAAGACCUGUGGGAGACAUGCAACUUGGCACGAUUCACAGCUGCUCUUGCUGACUUUGCCCGCAAGAGGAAUCUGGAGGGGAAUGGCCUGAAGUCACGACAAAAGCACCACUUCUGGAACCCAUGGACACUGAUGUCACUAGCCUGACUGUGCUGCCAUAAUCCCUUCUAUAAAAAUAAAUUGUUCACC
rnacentral:lncRNA from 1 species